UAAGCGAAAGUGAUAAGUAUCCCACCUGGGGAGUACGUUCGCAAGAAUGAAACUCAAAGGAAUUGACGGGGGCCCGCACAAGCGGAGGAGCAUGUGGUUUAAUUCGAUGAUACGCGAGGAACCUUACCAGGGCUUAAAUGGGAGACGACAGGACUGGAAACAGUUUUUUCUUCGGACGUCUUUCAAGGUGCUGCAUGGUUGUCGUCAGCUCGUGCCGUGAGGUGUCAGGUUAAGUCCUAUAACGAGCGCAACCCCUAUUGUUAGUUGCCAGCGGGUCAUGCCGGGAACUCUAACAAGACUGCCGGUGCAAACCGUGAGGAAGGUGGGGAUGACGUCAAAUCAUCACGGCCCUUACGUCCUGGGCUACACACGUGCUACAAUGGGCGGUACAGAGAGCAGCCACCACGCAAGUGGGCGCGAAUCUUCAAAACCGUUCUCAGUUCGGAUCGGAGUCUGCAACUCGACUCCGUGAAGCUGGAUUCGCUAGUAAUCGCAUAUCAGCCAUGAUGCGGUGAAUACGUUCCCGGGCCUUGUACACACCGCCCGUCAAGCCAUGGAAGCUGGGGGUACCUGAAGUCGGUGA
rnacentral:rRNA from 1 species